AUUGAACGCUGGCGGCAUGCCUUACACAUGCAAGUCGAACGGCAGCACGGAUGCUUGCACCUGGCGGCGAGUGGCGAACGGGUGAGUAAUACAUCGGAACGUACCUUAUCGUGGGGGAUAACGCAGCGAAAGCUGUGCUCAUACCGCAUACGCCCUGAGGGGGAAAGCGGGGGACCGUAAGGCCUCGCGCAAUUAGAGCGGCCGAUACCUGAUUAGCUAGUUGGUGAGGUAAAGGCUCACCAAGGCAACGAUCAGUAGCUGGUCUGAGAGGACGAUCAGCCACACUGGGACUGAGACACGGCCCAGACUCCUACGGGAGGCAGCAGUGGGGAAUUUUGGACAAUGGGGGCAACCCUGAUCCAGCAAUGCCGCGUGAGUGAAGAAGGCCUUCGGGUUGUAAAGCUCUUUUGUCAGGGAAGAAACAGCAGCUCUAACACAGUUUGCGAAUGACGGUACCUGAAGAAUAAGCACCGGCUAACUACGUGCCAGCAGCCGCCGUAA
rnacentral:rRNA from 1 species